UGCACUCACUACUGUAAGUCACUCUGGAGAAGAGCAUCUGCUAAAUGACUAAAA
rfam:Salmo salar isolate Sally breed double haploid chromosome ssa19, whole genome shotgun sequence.